rnacentral:rRNA from 1 species
UACGGAAGGCAGCAGUGGGGAAUAUUGCACAAUGGGCGCAAGCCUGAUGCAGCCAUGCCGCGUGUAUGAAAAAGGCCUUCGGGUUGUAAAGUACUUUUCAGUCGUGAGGAAGGUGUUAAGGUUAAUAACCUUAGCAAUUGACGUUAGCGACAGAAGAAGCACCGGCUAACUCCGUGCCAGCAGCCGCGGUAAUACGGAGGGUGCGAGCGUUAAUCGGAAUUACUGGGCGUAAAGGGCACGCAGGCGGUUAAUUAAGUUGGAUGUGAAAUCCCCGGGCUUAACCUGGGAAUGGCAUUCAAGACUGGUUAGCUAGAGUCUUGUAGAGGGGGUAGAAUUCCAUGUGUAGCGGUGAAAUGCGUAGAGAUGUGGAGGAUACCGGUGGCGAAGGCGGCCCCUGGACAAAGACUGACGCUCAUGUGCGAAAGCGUGGGGAGCAAACAGGGAUUAGAUACC